rnacentral:tRNA from 15 species
UCCCGAGCGGCCAAAGGGAGCAGACUGUAAAUCUGCCGUCAUCGACUUCGAAGGUUCGAAUCCUUCC